GGCGCGAUCGUCUUCCUCCUCAUUCGCCGCUGCGCCGCUCGAUCCAGGACCUAUGGAGGGAGCGAUAUCGCAAGACGUGCGCUCUUCUCCAAGUUUGCCUUCGAACAGCGAACCGGAAGAACAGACGGUCGAGCCGCUGAACUCUUUCUGUUCAUGGCGGUUUCGGCUUAUUCUUUCUCGAGUCUGAUCUUUCCUACAUUUUGGUCUUUGGUUUUGAGCGAUAUUUGAGUGUGUAGAGCGAAGGUCCCAGCGGAGAGGCGGGAGCUCUGUGAACGAGGCCUCUCUAACGAUUGAACAGAGAUCUCCUUCGCGAAAUUGGUCCGCCGAAUUGUAGGAUGCCUGGAAUUCUCCCCAUUUCCGGGCAUCUGGAAUCCUCGGCCACAUCCAUACCUUCCAUUGAAUCCGAAUUGGCUCUUGCGCUUUUCGCUGCUCGAUGACUUCCUCUUCCAGAAUAGAGAAGGUGGGGAUUGUGAUCUUGUUUUGAUUCCACUUUUAAUUUUUUAGCACGAAAACAAUGAAUAAAGUUUUAUUAAUUAAACUAUCCCUAGGCAAUCCGAUUUUUAUGCUCUUUUGUCUGAUAUUUACCGUUAGAUGCAUGCUAAAGCUAAACGAUGAAAAUGAGAUUCGUGGUAGCAUGAAGUGCAACCAAACAUGAAUUAGCACAAUUCUAAGGAUAUGUUCUUUCAACCAAAA